rnacentral:rRNA from 1 species
CCCUUAGAUGUCCGGGGCCGCACGCGCGCUACACUGAAGGAAUCAGCGUGGCUUUCUCCCUGACCCGAAAGGGUUGGGAAACCCGUUGAAUCUCCUUCGUUAUAGGGAUUGGGGCUUGAAAUUGUUCCCCAUGAACGAGGAAUUCCCAGUAAGCGCGAGUCAUAAGCUCGCGUUGAUUACGUCCCUGCCCUUUGUACACACCGCCCGUCGCACCUACCGAUUGAAUGACUCGGUGAAAUAUCGGGACCGUUGUCUGGUUUGAUUCAUUUCGAACUAGAUAGUGGGAACUUUCUUUAACCUAUUUAUUUAGAGGAAGGUGAAGUCGUAACA